rnacentral:rRNA from 1 species
CACGUAGGGCGCAAGCGUUGUCCGGAAUUAUUGGGCGUAAAGAGCUCGUAGGCGGUCUGUUGCGUCCGCUGUGAAAACUCGGGGCUUAACCCCGAGCCUGCAGUGGAUACGGGCAGACUAGAGGUAGGUAGGGGAGAAUGGAAUUCCCGGUGUAGCGGUGAAAUGCGCAGAUAUCGGGAGGAACACCGGUGGCGAAGGCGGUCUGCUGGGCAGUUGCUGACACUGAGGCGCGACAGCGUGGGGAGCAAACAGG